CGGCGUGCCUAACACAUGCAAGUCGUACGCGAAAGGGGCGUUCGGCCCUGAGUAAAGUGGCGCACGGGUGAGUAACACGUGGAUAAUCUGCCCGGUGAUCAGGGAUAACAUUCCGAAAGGAAUGCUAAUACCGGAUAAGCCCACGCAUCCUUCGGGGUGAGCGGGAAAAGGUGGGGACCUUCGGGCCUACUGUCACUGGAUGAGUCCGCGUCCCAUUAGCUAGUUGGUGGGGUAAUGGCCUACCAAGGCGACGAUGGGUAGCUGGUCUGAGAGGAUGAUCAGCCACACUGGAACUGAGACACGGUCCAGACUCCUACGGGAGGCAGCAGUGGGGAAUUUUGCGCAAUGGGCGAGAGCCUGACGCAGCAACGCCGCGUGAGUGAUGAAGGCCUUCGGGUCGUAAAGCUCUGUCAGAGGGAAAGAACAACCUGCCGGUUAAUACCCGGCGGGCCUGACGGUACCCUCAAAGGAAGCACCGGCUAACUCCGUGCCAGCAGCUGC
rnacentral:rRNA from 1 species